GCCUUUGUGGUCUAGUGGUAUGAUUCCUGCUUCGGGUUAUCAAUUCCCCGAGUUUCUUCUCGAAUUUGCAGGAGGCCCCGCGUUCGAAUCGCGGCAAAGGCC
rnacentral:tRNA from 1 species